CCCUCGGGUAUGGGCGGCA
rnacentral:misc_RNA from 1 species